UGGAUCCCGCUGCUGCCCACCACCGACAAUGCGCUGAUGGACGCGAUGAUGUACGUCAUCAUCAGCGAGAAUCUGCACGAUCGCGCAUUUAUUGCGCGCUACGCUAUCGGUUUUGACGAA
rnacentral:rRNA from 1 species